rnacentral:rRNA from 1 species
UACGAAGGGGGCAAGCGUUGUUCGGAAUUACUGGGCGUAAAGGGCGCGUAGGCGGGAUGGCAAGUCGGUCGUGAAAUCCUUCGGCUCAACCGAAGAACGUCGAUCGAUACUGCUGUUCUUGAGGGUUGCAGAGGAGACUGGAAUUCCCGGUGUAGCGGUGAAAUGUGUAGAGAUGUGGAGGAACACCAGUGGCGAAGGCGGUCUCUGGGCCUGACCUGACGCUGAGGAGCGAAAGCGUGGGAGCGAACGAGG